AUUUUUCUCAUUUGAAAUUUCAUAAAUAAAAAGAAAAUUUCUUCAAACAUUUUUUUGAGAGGACUAAUAUUCAACAGCAUAGUGAAUUGCUCUAACAGAAAACAAAAAUUUUAAGUUCAUUAGAACACAUUCAUUCUGUGUCAGAAACCUAUGCUGUGUCAACUAUUUAAUCACAAUCCAAAUAUAGAGCUGAAUCCAGCUUGAAUGUUGUGUCCAUACUUGCCCCAACCGUUCAGGGUUCAACCUCUGCGGUCGUAUAAAGCUACGCCCUGCGGAGCAUCUGGUUGAAAAUG
rnacentral:lncRNA from 1 species